rnacentral:rRNA from 1 species
CCUACGGGGGGCAGCAGUGGGGAAUAUUGGACAAUGGGGGCAACCCUGAUCCAGCCAUGCCGCUUGUGUGAAGAAGGCCCUCGGGUUGUAAAGCACUUUCAGUGAGGAAGAACGCCUGGUGGUUAAUACCCAUCAGGAACGACAUCACUCACAGAAGAAGCACCGGCUAACUCCGUGCCAGCAGCCGCGGUAAUACGGAGGGUGCGAGCGUUAAUCGGAAUUACUGGGCGUAAAGCGCGCGUAGGUGGCUUGAUAAGCCGGUUGUGAAAGCCCCGGGCUCAACCUGGGAACGGCAUCCGGAACUGUCAAGCUAGAGUGCAGGAGAGGAAGGUAGAAUUCCCGGUGUAGCGGUGAAAUGCGUAGAGAUCGGGAGGAAUACCAGUGGCGAAGGCGGCCUUCUGGACUGACACUGACACUGAGGUGCGAAAGCGUGGGUAGCAAACAGGAUUAGAUACCCCAGUAGUC